GGGAACAUGGGGCUGUACGCUGCGGUGGCAGGCGUGCUGGCCGGCGUGGAGAGCCGCCAGGGCUCUAUCAAGGGGCUGGUGUACUCCAGCAACUUCCAGCCUUGAUGACUUACAAGCCCUCAAGGGGAAGCAUUUUCUCCUGGACUCCUUGAUGCCGGAGCUGCUGGUGUUUCCCGCCCAGACAGAUCUGCAUGAACACCCACUGUACCGGGCCGGACACCUCAUUCUGCAGGACAGGGCCAGCUGUCUCCCAGCCAUGCUGCUGGACCCCUGCCAGGCUCCCAUGUCAUCGAUGCCUGUGCCGCCCCAGGCAAUAAGACCAGUCACUUGGCUGCUCUUCUGAAGAACCAAGGGAAGAUCUUUGCCUUUGACCUGGAUGCCAAGCGGCUGGCAUCCAUGGCCACGCUGCUGGCCUGGGUUGGCGUCUCCUGCUGUGAGCUGGCUGAGGAGGACUUCCUGGCGGUCUCCCCCUUAGAUCCGCGCUAUCGUGAGGUCCACUAUGUCCUGCUGGAUCCUUCCUGCAGUGGCUCGGGUGAGAUGGUGAGAAGGCGUGGCUGAGGGACUCGGAGGUCCACAGCAGCUUAGACCUGGAGUCAUCUGUUUUGGUCUUAGUUCUGACACUUUAAUGGGCUUGGGACCCUGGAGCAAAAGUUCUCCUCUGUGAGGCAAGGAUUUCAGGAGCGAGGAUUUCAGGACUGAGGCAGCCUGUGAAGCUGUGUAACCGAGACACGCUUUUCCUUAGCGGCUCGUCUACUCCAUGUGCUCCCUCUGCCAGGAGGAGAAUGAAGACAUGGUACCAGAUGCGCUGCAGCAGAACCCGGGCGCCUUCAGGCUAGCUCCCGCCCUGCCUGCCCGGCCCCACCGAGGCCUGAGCACGUUCCCGGGUGCCGAGCACUGCCUCCGGGCUUCCCCCAAGACCACGCUUAGCGGUGGCUUCUUCGUUGCUGUAAUUGAACGGGUCGAGAUGCCGAUGUGAGUGAGUGGGGGCAUGCUUGGGAGGCGCAGGAUGGUACUGGCACAUCUAACAUCUACACUUCUCUAGCUCAGCCUCACAGGCCAAAGCAUCAGCACCAGAACGCACACCCAGCCCAGCCCCAAAGAGAAAGAAGAGACAGCAAAGAGCCGCAGCCGGUGCUUGCACACCGCCUUGCACAUAGCAGAGGCUCCAGGCUGACUCCUUCCUGGUGGGAAAGGAAGAUGCCUGUCCUCUCCGUGGAGGACCCUGGGCCCUCACCGCAGGCAGCAGUUUGCAUUUUGAAAGGUUAUUGGGUCCCUUCCUCGGGCUGUGUUCUUGCUGGUGAGCAAAAGUGUUGCCUGCAGAAAUAAAAUGCAGAACGUACUCUA
ensembl:lncRNA NSUN5P1 NSUN5 pseudogene 1